AAUUACGCAUGCUCCGUGUCUACGAGUGACACGGGGACGUAAGCUCAUUUGAUCCACUGUAAAUCUCGCGUUCUCUAGACCGCUUUCCCGGAGCAAGUUUGUAACCGGGCCGGCGAGCAUUCCGAUCGAUCUGACGACUCCUCCGGCUUCCAGUUCCGAAGCCACGACUUAUAUAUGGGCUCACUGCAGCGUGCCAGCAGCGGCGGCGACAUGGCGACGGAGCUGGAGAAGCAAGACAGCGAUCAGGGCGAGGCGUCGUCGCCGUCGUCGGCGCGGGCGCGGCUCCUGGAGCGAGAGGUGGCGGUGGCGAAGCGAACGGAGGCGAGGAUGCUGGAGUGCCUGAUCCACCGGACCAAGGAGCUGGAGCAGGCCAAGGUGGCGCUCCAGGAGGCCAAGCUCGAGGCCGGCCCCGCGCAGGGGCAGUGGAGCGUCAUGGACCUCAUGUUCGGCGGCGUCGACGAGGAGAUCAGCGGGCUGAGGGCCAGGCUCCGGUCGGCGCUGGCCGCCGAGGAGAGGAGCCGGACGGCGGCCGACGACCUCGCCGCCGCGCUCUCCGCGGUCACCUCGGAGGCCAAGCAGGUGAAGGCGUGGCUGUCCGACGCACAGGCCGAGCUGGAGCGCGCCGACGCCGAGGCCGGCCGCCUCGAGGGCCUGCUGCGCGCCGCCGAGGCGGACCUGCGGUCGACGACGGAGCAGCUCGACGGCGCCAUGUCCGAGUGGAAGGAGGCCGCGGCCGCGUGGCGCGCCAGGGAGAAGGCGCUGCUCGGGCGCGCCCACGCGGCGGAGGAGGACGCCGACGGCGCCCGGCGCGAGAGCGCCGGGCUCGCCGAGCUGCACCGGGCGGCCGGCCACGAGAACGGCGGCCUGCGGCGCGCGCUGGAGCGAGCGGUGGAGGAGGCCAACGCGGCCAACGAGUUGCUCGAGUUCGCGGGCGGCGAGAACACCAAGCUCCGCGACGCCAUCGCCGAGAACGAGCGCGCCAUGGAGUCCCUGAGGCUGGAGAACGAGUCGCUCAAGGCCAGCGAGGCUGCCGCGCAGGGGCGUGCCGUGGAUCUAAGCAACCAGCUCACGGCGGCAACCCAAAAGGCGGCCGCCGCCGCCGCCGAUGGAGGCGCCGGCGGCGGAGAGAAGGCAGCAGCGGGGUUGCUACUGGAGAAGUGGAGAACCGACGCGGAGGGGAAGCUCGGUGCGGCGGCGUUCCUGGACUCCGGCAGGGCGGUGAUGGCCGCGGGCCGGAAGGACCGGAUGUUCGCGUCCGUCAGCAACAUCGCGGAGCUGAGGUCCGCGGCGGCGGCGGCGGCCAUGGACGAUUACGACUACGAGUUCGACCACUUGGAUGGCGGAAGACAGUACGGCGGCUUGGAGCAUGCCAUGAAGCACAAGAAGAGGUGCAUGCCGGAGGAGGUCUUGGUGCAACAUUACCAGGUCAGGCAGAGCAGGAAUAUCAAAGUGGAGCUAGGUGUCAAGGAGCAUGCACAUUGUGACAGCAAUCAAACCGGGAUUGACAAUAGUGUGGAUAGAAUAUUGAGGAUUGGUAUCCAGGAGAAUGCACAUCGUCACAGUGAGCGAAAUGUGAUCGAUGGAUUGGCUCUGGAGCUGGAUGCAGUGUUGUAUUGAGCUGGAGAUGAGAAAGUGAGAAGCAUACCUCCCCGCAGAGACAGAUUGGUUGGUGAAGGAGAGGUGCCUGGCAGUGAAACAAAGGGUUCUCCAAAUAGGACCUCUCGGCGGGACUCAAAACGGGGUGCUAAGCAGCAACCAUGUGGCACUGAUAAUGGCGGGGAUGGAGAGGAUGAUGACGUGUCCCAGAGAGUAUCUAAAUGAGCUGACAUCCUCAUACUUUUCUAGUUGCACAAGAGUACCUAAUUAGUUGGCAUCCUCAGCAUUUCUAGUUGCACAAUACCAUCCAACUAGUUGACAUCCUUAGUCUUUUUGUAGCUGUGUUGACACCCUCAACAUUUCUUCUAGAAGCCUGAAACCUGAAUGUGCUAUUUUUGAUUGUUCAUGCAAGUGCUGAAUAUUUCUUUUCGAGUAUCUA